rnacentral:rRNA from 1 species
GCGGAACGUUGGCGGCGUGCCUAACACAUGCAAGUCGUGGGGCAGCAGGCUACUGUCUUUUGGCAGUAGUGCUGGCGACCGGCAAACGGGUGAGUAACACGUAGCUUACCUACCCAUAGGUUGGGGAUAACAUCCCGAAAGGGGUGCUAAUACCCAAUAAUGAGGAGACUCCAAAGCCCUUACGGGUGCCUAUGGAUGGGGCUGCGUCCCAUCAGCUAGUUGGUGAGGUAAUGGCUCACCAAGGCUACGACGGGUAACCGGUCUGAGAGGAUGACCGGUCACAGUGGGACUGAGACACGGCCCGCACCCCUACGGGGGGCAGCAGUGGGGAAUAUUGGGCAAUGGCCGAAAGGCUGACCCAGCAACGCCGCGUGGUGGAUGAAGCCCUUCGGGGUGUAAACACCUUUUCUGGGGGAAGAUAAUGACGGUACCCCAGGAAUAAGGGACGGCUAACUACGUGCCAGCAGCCGCGGUAAUACGUAG